rnacentral:rRNA from 1 species
ACGGAAGGCAGCAGUGGGGGAUAUUGCACAAUGGAGGAAACUCUGAUGCAGCAACGCCGCGUGAAGGAAGAAGGUCUUCGGAUUGUAAACUUCUGUUCUUGGUGACGAAACAAAUGACGGUAGCCAAGGAGAAAGCCACGGCUAGCUACGUGCCAGCAGCCGCGGUAAUACGUAGGUGGCAAGCGUUGUCCGGAAUUACUGGGUGUAAAGGGUGCGCAGGCGGGACUGCAAGUUGGAUGUGAAAUCCCGAGGCUUAACCUCGGAACUGCAUCCAAAACUGUGGUUCUUGAGUGAAGUAGAGGUUGGCGGAAUUCCGAGUGUAGCGGUGAAAUGCGUAGAUAUUCGGAGGAACACCAGUGGCGAAGGCGGCCAACUGGGCUUUAACUGACGCUGAGGCACGAAAGUAUGGGGAGCAAACAGGAUUAGAUACCCUGGUA